rnacentral:tRNA from 1 species
AUAAAGAUAAGCUAUUAAAGCUAUUAGGUUCAUACCCUAAAUAAAGAACUAAUUAUUCUUCUUUAUA